AUGUCUUCUAGCUUCGAGUUGUGUGGAUGCUAAAUUUUGUCCAUUUGUCGUGCCAUGUUCCUGUGAGUCUUGGAGAGGAACAACAGGGUGCAGAAGGCAUUAGUGUUUUGGCAUCUGCUAUCCACUUUCUGUGCAAUGUGUUGCAGUGUGUUGUGGGACUUGUGGCGUAUUUUGGCCUUUUGGUUGAAAGAGGUCCAUGAAAGUACUUGAUGCCUUGUUUAUUUUGUGUAUAUGAAGGUAGAUGAUUAGUCGCGAACCAAUAUACCUAGCAUAUGGGCUAUUGAAGACAUUACAAAUCGAAUGAAUCUUACUCCUGUGGCCUUGCUGGAGGAAACUUGCUUCUCAAGAACUGUUUUUAGUGGGCAGCCUUGCAAACCCGACUACAGCAAUAUACCUCGCGCUGUGUUCUGGCACCAACUUCACUCAAUUUCAACUAGCCCCAUGUGCAAAUGGCAUCACAGGCCUUGAAAUGAGAGAGAAUUGAUCUGUUAAGAACAACCAAAACAAAAGAUACAACAGCCAGAAACUUCAGCUGAUUCACAACUAAAACAACUCGCUGCAAAUCAACUUGAAGAGAAGAAAAAAGGGGUCGUGUUUGUACGAUGGGCUUAGGUCCUACGCCUACUGACAUUUGGUUCCCAUUUCCUACUCAGUCUGAGGAAGAGGUGCGGGUUGUAUGUGCAGAAUUUUAGUAGACCGUCUGAUUUGAAGGUGGUGUGAUAAAAAUUUGGAAGUCUACAACAACAAAAGGCUAUGUUAUUGCAUCAUCUUAUGCAGACUUAGAAUUCUGGUGGACUGGUUUUGAUCUCUUCCGCCACUCUAGCAGACUCCCCACGACACUCCAUCUUUGAUCCAGAUAUGAAGUCUCAGAAAUUGGGAUAUUUUGAUAGCAUCUGUCUUUAAAGUGAAAGUGGAAUUCAUCCCUUCUGUUGAAAUGUAGAGCCAGUCAGAGCAGAAAAGCAAGAGGGCAGCAUCCAUCACAGCUCAUCGCUUGCGUAUAGAGCACCAUGAUCUUAUUUUGCAAAUUAUGUUUUUGAUGCUUCAUUAGGAAAACUGGUUUGUUAUGUAAAUAUAUUAGGAUUUGACAUGGUGAAACAGAGGAUAUGGAUGUUUUAUGCGAUGAACUCAAGACGAGCACAGGAAAGUGCUCUCUCAUUUCAUUAAAUAAGAGAAUGAAUUUAUGUGAAGUUAGUGAGCUCAUUGAGGGACACACAUCUAUUGACAUCUUAACCAUCAAUGAAUGAACAAAGUUUUGG